rnacentral:lncRNA from 10 species
AAAGUAGAGCUUCUAAUGAUCCCCAUGAGCACUGAGUGACCAUCCGAGGUACCUGCCAGUCUUACUGUGUCCUUUGGUCUCUUGGAGCAGCUGGGGACUAUGGGUCUCCGGAUUCCGGGAUCUAAAUGGGUAGUCAUGAUGAGGACGCAAAGACUGAAUCUUUGGAGAACAUCAGAGAAUCACUGCCCUUGCUAUUCACACUGCAGCAAAACUUCGGGAACUUGAACCUUGGAUUCAUAAUCUCACAACUGAGAAGGGUCCCUCCACACUCUUGGAACUGUACACCCACUGGAAAACCUUAAGGU